rnacentral:rRNA from 1 species
CUAAGCCAUGCGAGUCAUUGUAGCAAUACAAGGCAGACGGCUCAGUAACGCGUAGUCAAUCUACCCUAUGGACGGGAAUAACCUCGGGAAACUGAGAAUAAUGCCCGAUAGAACAUUAUGCCUGGAAUGGUUUAUGUUUCAAAUGAUUUAUCGCCAUAGGAUGGGACUGCGGCCUAUCAGUUUGUUGGUGAGGUAAUGGCCCACCAAGACUAUUACAGGUACGGGCUCUGAGAGGAGUAGCCCGGAGAUGGGUACUGAGACACGGACCCAGGCCCUAUGGGGCGCAGCAGGCGAGAAAACUUUGCAAUGUGCGAAAGCACGACAAGGUUAAUCCGAGUGGUUUCUGCUAAAGAAACCUUUUGUCAGUCCUAGAAACACUGACGAAUAAGGGGUGGGCAAGUUCUGGUGUCAGCCGCCGCGGUAAAACCAGCACCUCAAGUGGUCAGGAUGAUUAUUGGGCCUAAAGCAUCCGUAGCUCGUUUUGUAAGUUUUCGGUUAAAUCCAUGCGCUUAACGUAUGGGCUGCCGGGAAUACUGCAUAACUAGGAAGUGGGAGAGGUAGACGGUACUCGGUAGGAAGGGGUAAAAUCCUUUGAUCUAUUGAUGACCACCUGUGGCGAAGGCGGUCUACCAGAACACGUUCGACGGUGAGGGAUGAAAGCUGGGGGAGCAAACCGGAUUAGAUACCCGGGUAGUCCCAGCUGUAAACUAUGCAAACUCAGUGAUGCAUUGGCUUGUGGCCAAUGCAGUGCUGCAGGGAAGCCGUUAAGUUUGCCGCCUGGGAAGUACGUACGCAAGUAUGAAACUUAAAGGAAUUGGCGGGGGAGCACCACAAGGGGUGAAGCCUGCGGUUCAAUUGGAGUCAACGCCAGAAAUCUUACCCGGAGAGACAGCAGAAUGAAGGUCAAGCUGAAGACUUUACCAGACAAGCUGAGAGGAGGUGCAUGRCCAACA